UACGUAGGGUGCAAGCGUUAAUCGGAAUUACUGGGCGUAAAGCGUGCGCAGGCGGUUCGCUAAGACAGAUGUGAAAUCCCCGGGCUCAACCUGGGAAUUGCGUUGGAGACUGCAAGGCUGGAGUCUGGCAGAGGGGGGUAGAAUUCCACGUGUAGCAGUGAAAUGCGUAGAGAUGUGGAGGAACACCGAUGGCGAAGGCAGCCCCCUGGGUCAAGACUGACGCUCAUGCACGAAAGCGUGGGGAGCAAACAGG
rnacentral:rRNA from 1 species